UGGCUCAGAGCGAACGCUGGCGGCAGGCCUAACACAUGCAAGUCGAGCGCCGUAGCAAUACGGAGCGGCAGACGGGAGAGUAACACGUGGGAACGUACCCUUCAGUACGGAACAACCAAGGGAAACUUUGGCUAAUACCGUAUACGUCCGUAAGGAGAAAGAUUUAUCGCUGAAGGAUCGGCCCGCGUCUGAUUAGCUAGUUGGUGAGGUAACGGCUCACCAAGGCGACGAUCAGUAGCUGGUCUGAGAGGAUGAUCAGCCUCACUGGGACUGAGACACGGCCCAGACUCCUACGGGAGGCAGCAGUGGGGAAUAUUGGACAAUGGGCGCAAGCCUGAUCCAGCCAUGCCGCGUGGGUGAUGAAGGGCCCUAGGGGUUGUAAAGCCCUUUCGGGCGGGGGAAGAUAAUGACGGGUACCGCAGAAGAAGCCCCCGGGCUAACUUCGUGCCAGCCGCCGCGGGU
rnacentral:rRNA from 1 species